CAGCACACUGAGGAAAGAAGGAGCUAAACAAGAGCACAGACGUCAUUUCUCCCAUGAUGCUGUGAGCUGCUCCUCCUCAUCUCUUCGACACCAGUCGUUUUCCAAUCAACAGGAAGUCACACCGGGAGUCGAUGAAGUGUCAGCAGCUUGGUGUGAAUCACGUGUGUUUCUGUUCUCCCUUUACACAAAGUGAAAAGGAUCCUCUGACGAGAAGCGGCAGGAAGAACGAGCAUCUGUCACUCUGUGGAUUCAUCGGUGCUGAUGGUGGAGACGGACACGCCGGCUGCCUCGCAAUAAAAACCUCCCUGAGGUUCGUCAGCUGGUUUCUCCUCUGAUUAAACCUGCGAAACCUCGUUUCAACCUGCCGCUUCUCAUGAAGUCGGGGUGUGAUGUGCUUGUUUGUGGUGUUGCUCAGACUGAGCGGCAGAGAGAAGAGUCUCACUGUGGAUGUGAAAGAAUGAAGAGCAGCAGCAGACUGUUUGUCCCGCUCAGUCCAGACGGUCACACCACAACCUGAGACACAAAGACUCACAAACAACAACACAGUCACCACUGACGCAGGCCGGUUCAUCGUCCACCCUCCUUUAUAUCCCCGUCACUGCUCUGGUUUCAUGUUGGUGGGAGAUUAGUGACAUUAAAAUCAUGUUUUUUUAUUACUAUUAACUACAAACAUUAUCUAAUAUGCAAGAGAGGCGUUUUUCAGACAGUCAAACCUACAGCAUGAUUUCCAUCUUUCCAUUUGUGCCUGCAGGUUUGUGAAGUUCACAUCAGCAGUCGAACUAUAAAUUUUCUCCUCAUGGCUCCUGAAAAAUGUUGGUUUAUUUUGGAGCCAAUCAGAGAAUUCACCCGGCGCAGCACCCUCCACACAAAACGCCACAUGAUUGAAAGGCCCAGAAUCAAAGUCCAUCUGAUUAUGUGGAAGUCUGCUUCAGUUCAUAAGCUGAUUGAGGUACUUAUAAUAAACGACACGGCUCCUGUGCAGCUUUCGGGGGUUGUUUCCGCCUCUCUGACCUCCAGUGGAUUCGGACAAUAGAUGUGAUUUCGCUGCUCUCCUUCUUGGCGGCGGUGGAGAAAUGAAAAGGCAGUAAUCUGACAGCUGGGUCAGCGGCUCUCCACUCCUGCUUCACAUCGAGACAUUUAUAGGAAAAGAUCUGAGGUCGGUGCAGCGCCGUCAUGUUUCUCUGCCAGAUGUUAAAACUUAAAACUCAAAAGUGAUUCUGUUCCUCAAAUGUGACGUUUGAGCUUCAAUGCGCAGAACGACGUCUGAAGACUUUGACGCCACAAGUUUUCAUCGUCAGAACCAGAAUCACUGUUACUGAUCUCUGCGGGAGAAACUACGUCAGGAGGAAAGUUUGGAAGCAACUUCAUGAAGUCUGACGUGGGAACUUUGGUAUUUUACUUCGUCAGGUGCUCGAGGUUCAUUACUCUGAGAGUAUUUUUCUAGGAGCGUGACAUGUUGCAGCUUCUACGGCCGGCUGAGAAACGUUAAUUUGAGAUACACAAAUAAAACUGUAGAGCCGACUUUACAGCAUUCAGCGAUGCAGCACAGAACAGAAGAGUUUGUGUCAAAGUGCUGGGACACAUCUGGGGCGCAGGACUCGACCUCCCACAUGUUGAAUUAUGUAAAGGAACAGAGACUCUCAACCUCCUCUGUGUUUUCCAUGUCAACUGAAAACACUGAAUAAAAGAAACACGACUGUGACCUGCUGAAACCUGCUGCUGUCUUUCUGUUGCUUUUGUCCACACCAAUAAAAAUGAGCUGAUCCGACUCCCUGUUAGUGCUGCCAGUGUUUGUAGUGUCUUCUGAUUUUGUUCAAGGAUUUAUUUUCUUCAACAGACACUCAAGAGACUCAUCUGAGUCUGUUGUCACAUUGAAUGAGGGCAGAGACAUCAGAUAACUGUUUUCAUUUUGUGAGUCCUUCAGUAAUCAACUAUAAUUGUGUCACAUCUGAGUAGAUGUUUGUUACUGUGCUUAUAUGGGCGACUCUUUUUUAUGUGUGAAAGUUAAGAGAAGCCUGAAGAAUAAAUAAAAUGUUUCAGAUUUGAACAUUUGUGAGUUAGAAGG